UGUGCAAUUUGCCGUCCGCAAAGUGUCCCUGAAACGCGUGUUACAUUGCUUUCAAAACUAUGACCACCAUAAAAAACAAAACAAUAUACAAAUUUCGUUAACUGUCGACUUAUGUUUACGACAUUUAUGACUAGCAUUCCAUUACAUGGCCACAAAAAAUGAAAAGUUUUUUAAAUUAUGUCAUAUAUGGAUGCUAUCAUUUUAAGAAAGAUUUUAGUGAUGUGUAAGCUGUAAUGAUACCAACAUUAUUCAGGAAGACUUUAUGGUAUGUAGUCUGUAAUUGAAACUUCCUGGCAGAUUAAAACUGGGUGCCAGACUGAGACUCAAACUCGGGACCUUUGUCUUGCAUGGGCAUGUACUCUGCUGACUGAGCUAUCCAAGGACAACCCACGACUCAUCCUCACAGCUCUGUAAUUAAUUUGUGUAAAUGUUCUUGAACCCUGCUACAAUAUAAUGUGCACUUGUAUAAGUUGUUUUAUGUUACUGACAUGAUAAAAAAAAUUGGUUUUACAUCUAAAUGUGAAGAUGGACAUGUUGUUAGCUGGAACUAGUAAUAAAUCCAAAUAAAGGUGA